CUCCUACGGGGGGCAGCAGUGGGGAAUAUUGCACAAUGGGGGAAACCCUGAUGCAGAACGCCGCGUGAGUGAAGAAGUGUUUGGGUAUGUAAAGCUCUAUCAGCAGGGAAGAAGAUGACGGUACCUGAUUAAGAAGCCCCGGCUAACUACGUGCCAGCAGCCGCGGUAAUACGUAGGGGGCAAGCGUUAUCCGGAUUUACUGGGUGUAAAGGGAGCGCAGACGGCAGCGCAAGUCUGGAGUGAAAGCCCGGGCCCCAACCCCGGAAC
rnacentral:rRNA from 1 species